AACGUAGGUUCCGAGCGUUAUCCGGAUUUACUGGGCGUAAAGCGCGUUCAGGCGGUUUGGCAAGUCGGGCAUGAAAUCUCUCGGCUCAACCGGGAGAGGUUGUCCGAUACUGCUGGACUUGAGGGCAGUAGAGGGUGGUGGAAUUCCGGGUGUAGUGGUGAAAUGCGUAGAUAUCCGGAGGAACACCAGUGGCGAAAGCGGCCACCUGGACUGCAUCUGACGCUGACACGCGAAAAGCUAGGGGGAGCGAACGGG
rnacentral:rRNA from 1 species